rnacentral:rRNA from 1 species
ACGGAAGGCAGCAGUGGGGAAUAUUGGACAAUGGGGGAAACCCUGAUCCAGCGACGCCGCGUGAGUGAAGAAGUAUUUCGGUAUGUAAAGCUCUAUCAGCAAGGAAGAAAAUGACGGUACUUGACUAAGAAGCCCCGGCUAACUACGUGCCAGCAGCCGCGGUAAUACGUAGGGGGCAAGCGUUAUCCGGAUUUACUGGGUGUAAAGGGAGCGUAGACGGCAAAGCAAGUCUGAAGUGAAAUCCCGGGGCUCAACCCUGGAACUGCUUUGGAAACUGUUUAGCUAGAGUGCAGGAGAGGUAAGUGGAAUUCCCAGUGUAGCGGUGAAAUGCGUAGAUAUUGGGAGGAACACCGGAGGCGAAGGCGGCUCACUGGACGAUAACUGACGCUGAGGCGCGAAAGCGUGGGGAGCAAACAGGAUUAGAUACCCUGGUA